CAGCCGCCGCGGGAAUACAGAGGGUGCGAGCGUUAAUCGGAUUUACUGGGCGUAAAGCGUGCGUAGGCGGCUUCUUAAGUCGGAUGUGAAAUCCCUGAGCUUAACUUAGGAAUUGCAUUCGAUACUGGGAAGCUAGAGUAUGGUAGAGGAUGGUAGAAUUCCAGGUGUAGCGGUGAAAUGCGUAGAGAUCUGGAGGAAUACCGAUGGCGAAGGCAGCCAUCUGGCCUAAUACUGACGCUGAGGUACGAAAGCAUGGGGAGCAAACAGGAUUAGAUACCCCAGUAGUCCCUGUCUCUUAUAC
rnacentral:rRNA from 1 species